rnacentral:rRNA from 1 species
GUCCUGGCAGUAAACGGUGCACACUUGGUGUGGGAAUUCGACCUCUUCCGCGCCGGAGCUAACGCGUUAAGUGUGCCGCCUGGGAAGUACGGUCGCAAGAUUAAACUCAAAGAAAUUGACGUGGACCCGCACAAGCGGUGGAGUAUGUGGCUUAAUUCGAUGCAACGCGAAGAACCUUACCUGGUCUUGACAUGCAUUCUGUCUCCUGUGAAAGCAGGAUAGGUUAGCAAUAACCGGUUUGCACAGGUGCUGCAUGGCUGUCGU